AAUGGACGCAAGUCUGAUCCAGCCAUUCCGCGUGCAGGACGAAGGCCUUCGGGUUGUAAACUGCUUUUGUACAGAACGAAAAGGCCUCUAUUAAUACUAGGGGCUCAUGACGGUACUGUAAGAAUAAGCACCGGCUAACUACGUGCCAGCAGCCGCGGUAAUACGUAGGGUGCAAGCGUUAAUCGGAAUUACUGGGCGUAAAGCGUGCGCAGGCGGUUAUAUAAGACAGAUGUGAAAUCCCCGGGCUCAACCUGGGAACUGCAUUUGUGACUGUAUAGCUGGAGUGCGGCAGAGGGGGAUGGAAUUCCGCGUGUAGCAGUGAAAUGCGUAGAUAUGCGGAGGAACACCGAUGGCGAAGGCAAUCCCCUGGGCCUGCACUGACGCUCAUGCACGAAAGCGUGGGGAGCAAA
rnacentral:rRNA from 1 species